CGCCGUACGGAACGGGAUUAAUACCGCAUAAAAUCGUAGAAACACAUGUUUUAGCGGUCAAAGAUUUAUCGGUCAUAGAUGGGCUCGCGUCUGAUUAGCUAGUUGGUGAGAUAACAGCCCACCAAGGCGACGAUCAGUAGCCGGUCUGAGAGGAUGAACGGCCACAUUGGAACUGAGACACGGUCCAA
rnacentral:rRNA from 1 species